rnacentral:rRNA from 1 species
AGUGAACGCUGGCGGUAGGCCUAACACAUGCAAGUCGAACGGCAGCACAGUAAGAGCUUGCUCUUACGGGUGGCGAGUGGCGGACGGGUGAGGAAUACAUCGGAAUCUACUUUUUCGUGGGGGAUAACGUAGGGAAACUUACGCUAAUACCGCAUACGACCUACGGGUGAAAGCAGGGGAUCUUCGGACCUUGCGCGAUUGAAUGAGCCGAUGUCGGAUUAGCUAGUUGGCGGGGUAAAGGCCCACCAAGGCGACGAUCCGUAGCUGGUCUGAGAGGAUGAUCAGCCACACUGGAACUGAGACACGGCCCAGACUCCUACGGGAGGCAGCAGUGGGGAAUAUUGGACAAUUGGCGCAAGCCUGAUCCAGCCAUACCGCGUGGGUGAAGAAGGCCUUCGGGUUGUAAAGCCCUUUUGUUGGGAAAGAAAAGCAGCAGGUUAAUACCCCGCUGUUCUGACGGUACCCAAAGAAUAAGCACCGGCUAACUUCGUG